GUGGCCAGAUGGUUUCUCCUUAAAAUGGCUCCAAGUCUGGGGACAGCUAGAGCCAGCGGAAGGGCACGCCGUGGCAGUGCUGGAGUAGCUGUUCGAGUGGGACUGACUGGGCCAAACCGGACCAGACGUGAAGUAGACCGCGCCUGGAGCACCACCCCGCCCUUGCGCGCUCUGCGCGCGCGUACCGAGAGUCUCCCUCCCCCUGUCUUGAGCUGAGUCUAGGGCCUACUGGCGCAUGAGUCCUUGGCGUCCCGCGGCAUGGGCAUCUCUGCGCACCGGUUCUGUCCUGGCCUCAGAGGAACUUUGUCGCGUUCUCUAUCCGCUGGACUAGACGGGUGGGAUGCUUGACACAAAUGGGGCUUGGCUGUGGGGUUCUUUGCAGGGCCGGUUGCAAUGGGCUUGGGGGGAGGCUGUCCUGCCGCUGCUAUGUGGGCCAGUUUGGCCCCUGGCACUUCAUGAGCUGGCACCGUCACCAGACAAAAGGUCCUAAGCUUUGGGGAGUCCCAGAAGUGGACACAUGGGUUUACUUCCUCUCGGGUCUCACGGAAUCGCUUCCCUCUUGACGGAUUCCGAAGCCUGCCCGGUACAAGUGGCUCCUGCUUGGGACUCACAGGGCUAAUCCAGCCCUUCUGAUCUAAUCCGGAUCAGGACCUCGUCCCGGGGGAUGCCCCCACCUUCUAUUGUUCUGGGGCCCAGGUGAGCGUCUCAUUCUCACUAGACUGGUUUAAAACACCUACUCCUUCCUACUCAGCCCACUGGGAAGGGAUGGGCGGGUUCCGGUUUGGCCUCAGGGCGAGUGACCUGGGAGCAAGAGCCCUCCUCCAAUGGCUGGACAGCGGGCAACGGAAUCCCAAAAGCAGCUGUUGUCUCCAGAGCAUUCCAGCUGCACUUGGAUUUCGUUCCCUGCUCUCCUGCCUGAGCAGCGCCCUGGCCCAGAUAAUGUGGUCUCUAUUCUCAGAAACACUACACUACUGGGCCAUUCUGAUCUCCAUCUCUCAGGUGCACCCCCAGACUGAUGGUGGCAGUCAGAGGCGACGAAAAAAGCUCGGGCUGAUGGCCCUGUCUGGAAUCCCUGGAGAACUCUGACCAGGGAGGUCCUGGGUCCUCUCUCUGAAGGGCCGCAAUGGCGGUGAGUCCCACAAGGCCGCCCAGCCCGCAGCUCGCUAAAGAUAGAUCUUCACUUCCUGGGGAAAACCCACCCCAACCGUCUUCAUGGAGGGAGAGUAGCUAAAAUCACCAACUUGCUGGUGGGUCCCAGCCCUGCUAGCAGCUGAACCCACACCACAGCAUGGAAAGUGCUUUGGAAUGACACGAUCACUCCCGUUGAGUGGGCACCCAAGAAGCCAUCGGGAAUGUCGUGUCCGCCCAGUGCUCUUUCGGCACCUCCCAAACAGGGCCUCAUAGCCCCGGCCUUCCCGAACUUUUCCUAUCUCUAGAUGUCACUCCUCUCCGGAGCAAAGUUCACCGGUUGGAUUCAUUCAUUACUGGGGGAAGUGGAGUUUCACGUUACUUGGAAACGAAAGAGUUUGGACAUAGAAAAGCUCACCUGCAGCUUGCUCUACCUGAGAGCUCUGCUUAUUUGGGUCUUCUCAUCAUCACAUUUGUCUUAAACUGACCAGUUGCCUAAAGAACCAAAGGUGCCGGUAACACCAGUUUAAAGGAAAAACAUUAAAGGCUGGUAAUCCUGGAAUCAUGAUGACUAAUUCCUCGGGUAUCAAGAUGGGCAAUUCUAUCCGAUUGGGCUUUUACUGGGAAUAAAGACAUUCCAUACCGCAGCCGAGGAAAGGCGUACCAAUAAUCAGAACUCAAAUUUUGCUUUGUUUCGUUACUUUUCCAAGUAGGCGGUAAAGAGUCUUUAAUGGAAGACACGAGUGGUGGCACACACCUUUAAUCCCAGUACUCAGGAGGCAGAGGCAGGUGGAUUUCUGAGUUCAAGGACUUUCUGGUCUACAAAGAGUUCCAGGACAGCCAUGGCUACACAGUGAAACCCUGUCUUGAAAAACAAAGUGUCAUUAAUGGUACAGCCUUAUUCCUUUGACAUUUCGUCUCGUGCGUCUGGCCUUUAAUUUGUUUAAAUGGGGCAGAAAAAGAAAAAAGAGACAUAAACACAAAGAUGUGAAACUUUGGUGGCAAAGUGUCUUGCCUGGUAACAAAGAUCCGUUAUCAAAGUAA
rnacentral:lncRNA from 1 species